CUGGCCACACCCCACCGUGUCCAGUUACCACUCAGUCAAUCCCGUCAGGGAUUCAUUCACCCAUUAAAUCAAGGCUAAUUAAGCCCAACCAUUUCUCCUCGAAACUUUGCAUUGUCUUCCACGUGAGCUUUUGGGGCACAUCACAUCAAAACCGUAAUGAGGGCUCCUAGAGGACCAAGUCAGGAGGCAGAAAGAUUUCCAGACUGCACAUGGCCAUUGUGGACUAUCUACUUUCUAGUCAAGUGCACCUGUGAUGAAAGUCUGGAGCCCAAAAAACCUCUGGUGGUGGGGAUCCUUGUAAAAGUCCUCAUCCUCCUGCCCCUGAAAGCCACCAUGGGACCAGCUAAGGCUGGGAGUGGAUCCAGGCCUUUCUGCACAAGACUUCCUGAGGCUGCUUGAGUCUGCAACCUUUGGGGCCCAGCAGUGCUGAGAUUUCCCUUGUUUGGAGGAGCAUUUUAGAACAGAUCCUGUAACAGUAAUGCUUGUGGGUCUACUUCUACACCAUGGAAGCUUCAGAGCUAUUAUGCAUGUUUCUUCUGUUUUUCUCAAUAAAAAUUGUGCUAAAAUGUGAAA